GGCAUCCUACGGGGCGCAGCAGUGAGGAAUAUUGGUCAAUGGGAGAGAUCCUGAACCAGCCACGCCGCGUGAGGGCACACGGCCCUAUGGGUUGUAAACCUCUUUUGUCGGAGAACAAAACCCGGGACGUGUCCCGGACUGCGUGUAUCCGAAGAAAAAGCAUCGGCUAACUCCGUGCCAGCAGCCGCGGUAAUACGGAGGAUGCGAGCGUUAUCCGGAUUUAUUGGGUUUAAAGGGUGCGU
rnacentral:rRNA from 1 species